GUCUGUAGCAAAAACAUUCUCACUCAGAAGUGAAGGAAGACACGCACCCAAGUGCAAUGCAUUCGCCAGGCACGAAAAACUCGAGAAACUGCUGCUAUAACUCCCCAUUUCCAGACAAAUAAUAAUAAUACCCGCUCAGUCGAUGGGAAUGAGAAGUCGGAUAACUUCUCAUAGAGGUUUCUCCAAUACAUUCCCGCAAACUCGUCGAAGGAGGUGGGGGAAAAAAACCCUCUCGAGAGUUAGAGCUGUAUCACACAGCGAACACUUCAAAAGAUUUUACAUGCUCCCCCCUCCUCCCUCCCUCUCCUCUAACCCACCCGUACACUGGAGCGUGUCGGCGCCGUGACAAUAACAUUAGUUUCCGUGUGCUUUUAAAAAAAAAACUUACCAACAGUUCUCGAGCCUGACCCCGAACCAAGCAGAAGGAAAAGCUAGCAGUACGUGAAGAGCGGUGGGUUCGCGCAGGGAGUCCGGUUCGAGUUUCUGGGAGUACGGGCUGGAGUUGGAAGGGGGCUUCGGGGUGGCGGCAGGCUGGCUGGGGAGUCGGUCGCUCGUGUGUUGGUGCUGAGAGAGGCGGAGUCGGAGGAGGCAGAGAGCCGGAGAGCAGAGGUCGGCCAGUCCGGGACAGCGGUUCCCAAACUGCGGGCUAGGGACCGCUAACGGUCUCCGAGAGCUAAACCGGGAACAGUUUGAUUGUACCGUUACCUCUCAGCAAAAUUAGCUAGCAGCUGUGAGCUCACCUAACGACAUGUACUUAUUCAACAGAGAUGGCACAAAUGGUCCAAACAGAAAAUAAAUUAGGGAGUAGUUAGCAGGACAGAACAGCUACAAAAUGAGGGUCAGUAUGGUUUCCCUUGACAUGAAAAAGAUAUUAUGGAGGCCCAAGCGAGGACUAUUAGAUUAAUUAAUUUCCCAUUGAUUUCCCCAGAACUACUUAACCCUUGUGUGGUGUUCGGGUCUGUGGGACCCGUUUUCAUUUUUUAUUAAAAGAAAAAUGAUACAAUUAAUUAAUUUUUCAAACUGAGACUCACUGACUUUGGCUCAUUUUCUGUGAAGAACAUAUCAGAAUACAUAUUUAAUGACCACACACCAUACACCCCCCCUACACAUUUCUAUUACAUAUAAGAUGUCCGGGUCCACUGGACCCGGGGCUAAUAGAAGUGUGGAAAUUGAUGUUCUGUGUACCACACGCACCCACCCACACACACACACACACACACACACACACACACACAGCAGGCCUAGACAGGAGGAGGACAGAGUGUAGGUACACAGAACAUCAGAGGGUCAAAUGUGCGAGAAAAUGAGAGCAGACAGUGUUGACAAACAAUGUUGCAAUGUGACCUAACAAAGGUAAAGGGCAAAUAUUAACCAUAUUUAUUGUUUAUACUGCUUGUAAUUGGGAUAAGGUAAACAUCUGUUCAGUAUUUUAACAUAAAAGUGUUUGAUUGUGAGGCAUUAAAAGCCACAAAAUGCAACGGGUCCAUCAGACCCACAAACGCUGGCUGAGUAACAACAAUAUGAACAUUACACAAGGGUUAAUGUAAGACUGCAUGGGAUUAUUUUGGUUCAAAACCUAAAACACUCUUAUAAAAAAUGUGAAAUAUAGACCUUCAUAGGCAACAGAUAACAGCAUUAAGAAAAUAUAUAAUCUGAGAUUAAUCUCAUUGUGAAUCCCAUUAUGAGGAUGGCCUAUUAUGAAAACCAUACAUGACCAUGGCUGUUGUGUAAAGCAGGCCCACAAAAUGUCACUAUAAAGUGUGGUAGCCUAUUACACAAACACUCCUUAAAGGUCCAGUGUAUAUAACAUUGAUGAUCUAUUGGCAGAAAUGGAAUAAAUAUUCAUAGGUAGGAUGUAUUUGUACAUAA